rnacentral:rRNA from 1 species
UACGUAGGGGCCGAGCGUUGUCCGGAGUUACUGGGCGUAAAGCGCGCGCAGGCGGCUCGUCAAGCCUGACGUGAAAGCCCCCCGGCUCAACCGGGGAGGGUCGUCGGGGGACUGGCGGGCUUGAGGUCGGCAGGGGUUGGUGGAAUUCCCGGUGUAGUGGUGAAAUGCGUAGAGAUCGGGAGGAACACCCGUGGUGAAGGCGGCCAACUGGGCCGGACCUGACGCUGAGGCGCGAAGGCGUGGGGAGCGAACGGG